GAUGAACGCUGGCGGCGUGCCUAAUACAUGCAAGUCGAGCGAACGGACGAGGAGCUUGCUUCUCUGACGUUAGCGGCGGACGGGUGAGUCACACGUGGAUAACCUACCUAUAAGACUGGGAUAACUUCGGGAAACCGGAGCUAAUACCGGAUAAUAUAUUGAACCGCAUGGUUCAACAGUGAAAGACGGUUUUGCUGUCACUUAUAGAUGGAUCCGCGCUGCAUUAGCUAGUUGGUAAGGUAACGGCUUACCAAGGCAACGAUGCGUAGCCGACCUGAGAGGGUGAUCGGCCACACUGGAACUGAGACACGGUCCAGACUCCUACGGGAGGCAGCAGUAGGGAAUCUUCCGCAAUGGGCGAAAGCCUGACGGAGCAACGCCGCGUGAGUGAUGAAGGUCUUCGGAUCGUAAAACUCUGUUAUUAGGGAAGAACAUAUGUGUAAGUAACUGUGCACGUCUUGACGGUACCUAAUCAGAAAGCCACGGCUAACUACGUG
rnacentral:rRNA from 1 species